UACGUAGGGGGCGAACGUUGUCCGGAAUUAUUGGGCGUAAAGCGCAUGUAGGCGGUCUUUUAAGUCAGAUGUUAAAUCCCCGGGCUCAACCCGGGUCCGCAUUUGAUACUGAAGGGCUAGAGAAAUAUAGAGGAAAGCGGAACUUCCGGUGUAGCGGUGAAAUGCGUAGAUAUCGGAAGGAACACCAGUGGCGAAGGCGGCUUUCUGGAUAUUUUCUGACGCUGAGAUGCGAAAGUUAAGGGAGCAAACGGG
rnacentral:rRNA from 1 species